rnacentral:tRNA from 1 species
GCGCGCUUAGCUCAGCUGGUUAGAGCACCAAGCUUAUACCUUGGGGGUCCAUGGUUCGAAUCCAUGAGCGCGCACCA